AGGACCAGACUUUUAUUAGUAUUAUUAUUCAUUGUUAUUCCAAAGAAUGAACCGUUCCAGACAUGUUCCAGAUCAGUUUAAUCCGUGUUUGAAUGGAAAACUGGAAACUUUUAGAAACUAAAUCAACACAGAUUUCAUUUAAAGCUGAGAAUCUUCCAGGUUACUUUUAUUCAGAUGACAAUCUAAGAUUCAGUUUAAAAAUAAUGACAGAGAAACAGAAUGAUCCGAGAACUGUUGGUGAUCGAUUAUUGAUGAGGUGAUUGAUUACUGAUGAAGUGAUUGAUUACUGAUGAGGUGAUCGAUUAUUGAUGAGGUGAUCGAUUAUUGAUGAGGUGAUCGAUUAUUGAUGAGGUGAUCGAUUGCUGAUGAGGUGAUCGAUUGCUGAUGAGGUGAUCGAUUGCUGAUGAGGUGAUGGAUUACUGAUGAGGUGAUCGAUUACUGAUGAGGUGAUCGAUUACUGAUGAGGUGAUCGAUUACUGAUGAGGUGAUCGAUUAUUGAUGAGGUGAUCGAUUACUGAUGAGGUGAUCGAUUACUGAUGAGGUGAUCGAUUAUUGAUGAGGUGAUCGAUUACUGAUGAGGUGAUCGAUUACUGAUGAGGUGAUCGAUUAUUGAUGAGGUGAUCGAUUAUUGAUGAGGUGAUUGAUUACUGGUGAUUGAUUACUGAUGAGGUGAUCGAUUAUUGAUGAGGUGAUUGAUUAUUGAUGAGGUGAUUGACUGAACUCCCACCUCGGCCCACUGAGCGUCUCCU